rnacentral:rRNA from 1 species
GUGCCAGCCGCUGCGGUAAUACGGAGGGUGCAAGCGUUAAUCGGAAUUACUGGGCGUAAAGCGCACGCAGGCGGUCUGUCAAGUCGGAUGUGAAAUCCCCGGGCUCAACCUGGGAACUGCAUUCGAAACUGGCAGGCUAGAGCCUUGUAGAGGGGGGUAGAAUUCCAGGUGUAGCGGUGAAAUGCGUAGAGAUCUGGAGGAAUACCGGUGGCGAAGGCGGCCCCUGGACAAGGACUGACGCUCAGGUGCGAAAGCGUGGGGAGCAAACAGGAUUAGAUACCCUGGUAGUCCACGCCGUAAACGAUGUCGAUUUGGAGGUUGUGCCCUUGAGGCGUGGCUUCCGGAGCUAACGCGUUAAAUCGACCGCCUGGGGAGUACGGCCGCAAGGUUAAAACUCAAAUGAAAUUGACGGGGGCCCGCGACAAGCGGUGGAGCAUGUGGUUUAAUUCGAUGCAACGCGAAGAACCUUACCUGGUCUUGACAUCCACAGAACUUUCCAGAGAUGGAUUGGUGCCUUCGGGAACUGUGAGACAGGUGC